UUCGCAAUGCCCGAAAGGGUGACGAAGCGACGCCGCGUGUGGGAAGAAGGCCUUCGGGUUGUAAACCACUGUCGGGAGUUAGGAAAUGUAAGGGUGUUAAUAGUAUCCUUACUUGACUAAGGCUCCGGAGGAAGCCACGGCUAACUCUGUGCCAGCAGCCGCGGUAAUACAGAGGCGGCAAGCGUUGUUCGGAAUUAUUGGGCGUAAAGAGCACGUAGGCGGCUCUGUAAGUCAGUUGUGAAAGCCUUCUGCUUAACGGAAGAACAGCAGCUGAUACUGCAAGGCUAGAGUGCGGAAGGGGAGAGUGGAACUUCUGGUGGAGCGGUGAAAUGCGUAGAUAUCAGAAGGAACGCCGGCGGCGAAAGCGGCUCUCUGGCCCGUAACUGACGCUGAGUGUGCGAAAGCUAGGGGAGCAAACGGGAUUAGAUACCCCGGUAGUCCUAGCCGUAAACGAUGGGCACUAAGUAGAGGGGUUUU
rnacentral:rRNA from 1 species